rnacentral:rRNA from 1 species
AGCGAACGCUGGUGGCAGGCCUAACACAUGCAAGUCGAACGAACUCUUCGGAGUUAGUGGCGGACGGGUGAGUAACACGUGGGAACGUGCCUUUUGGUUCGGAAUAACUCAGGGAAACUUGUGCUAAUACCGAAUGUGCCCUUCGGGGGAAAGAUUUAUCGCCAUUAGAGCGGCCCGCGUCUGAUUAGCUAGUUGGUGAGGUAACAGCUCACCAAGGCGACGAUCAGUAGCUGGUCUGAGAGGAUGACCAGCCACACUGGGACUGAGACACGGCCCAGACUCCUACGGGAGGCAGCAGUGGGGAAUCUUGCGCAAUGGGCGAAAGCCUGACGCAGCCAUGCCGCGUGAAUGAUGAAGGUCUUAGGAUUGUAAAAUUCUUUCACCGGGGACGAUAAUGACGGUACCCGGAGAAGAAGCCCCGGCUAACUUCGUG